AAAGCAAACCUAAAGUGGUAAAAGCGGCAUUCAGUUUAAGAUGCCCUAUAGCAUGAAAAUUGGCAUGAUAACACACAUACAGAGAUUGGAAAUAUACCAGAGCCUCUAAAAUUUCAUAUCUUUUUAAAGUGAGGGAAUAGAGAGUAUAAAUUUAAAUGACAGCCUGGGUUAGAAAAUAGCUUAAUGAUUAGAAUGUACCAAAUGAUACAACAGCUGCCUUUUGUCUCAAGGAUAGAGCAUUAAUAGCAAUCAGCAAAUGGUUUCUACGCUUGCAUGAUAUAUAUUAAAUGUUCUAGGACCUCGUGGACCAGUGAAAAUUCCUCAGUGCAUCAGCUGCUUCGGACUUCUGGCUAUCUGCUUGUCAUAUUUUGGUAAUUCUUAAAAUAGUUCAAACAUUGCACCAGCAAAAAGAUUAUGACUCACUGAAGGCUUGGAUGAUGGUUAGCAUUUUUUAGCAAUAUAAUGUUUUUUAAUUAAGCUUUGGGAAAAAAUAAAACCCGGAAGAGGAAAGAGCCUGAUGCUUUGGAGAAUUGCUAACCAUCAUGAUUCACACAUACUGCAGCAACAUGGAUGGAACUAGAAACUCUCACACUGAGUGAAGUAAGUCAGAAAGAGAAGGACAAAUACCAUAUGAUAUCACUUAUAUCUGGAAUCUAAUAUAAGGCACAAAUGAAUCUUUCCACAAAAAAAAAAAUUUCAGUUUCCCAAACAACCAAAGGCACCUGAUUUGUGAAACUGAUCCGUGAAGUCCAGGGACAAAUUAUCCUGACUGUGAGGAUAGCCUCAGUUAAGACAACUAUGUAGCCAAAAGCACCAACUGCCUUAGUGACAAAGCUUAUCGGUUUUCUUCUCUAUCAGUGAAUGAAUCAGUAUCCACAAUAUUGCACAAAUACUUGUCUGUUUUUUAAUGGGAAAUACAUUUUCUCUGCUUUCAGAUAUAUUUUCAAGUCAAGAAAUUCAGAAAAAGAAAUUAAAAAAUCAUCUCACUACUUAGGAAAAAAACAAUUCAAUCAUUUAAUAAUAUAUGUGACUCAGUUCUUUUUUUCUUACAUUUUUUGUGUGUGUGCCUUUUUGUUUUUUUCCCUCAGGGCUGCAUCCAUGGCUUAUGGAAGUUCCCAAUCUAGGGCUCAAAUUGGAGAUGUGGUUGCCGGCCUGCACGACAGCCAGAGCAACGCCAGAUCCGAGCCUCAUGUGACCUGCACCACAGCUCAUGGCAAUGGCAGAUCCUUAACUUACUGAGCAAGACCAGGAAUUGAAUGUGAAUCCUCAUGGAUACUAGUCAGGUUUGUUACGGCGGAGCCACAGUGGGAGCUCCAUCAGUACAUUUAAGUACAUAUACAGUGUAUCUAAAAUCAUAUGCCCUUACUCAUUUAAACUUUUUUUAACUUAAUAAUUUUACCAAUAUUUAAAUAUUCUUCUAGAAGAAAAUUUUAAGUGCUAUAUUGUAUUGUAUCAAAUAACUGAAAAGACAUUUACAUUGUGUAGACUUAUUGAAUUCUUUAGCGCAGGAAAUUGUUUUUCUCCUGUUUUUCAGUAUAAUGAAAGUGAAUUUUAAUAGAAAAUUAUGGCCAAUAAGGGAAUUAUCAGAUACGAUAACUUAUUUUUAAAAAUUUAUGUUGUUCAGUUGUCCUCCAGGAUAUUAUAAUUUACAUUUAUAGCAGAACCAUUAAAGGGCUCUUAUUUCUUUACUUGCAGGAAACUUGGGUAGUAUUUCUGUGUUAUAUGAGACAUAUAAAUUAGCUUUUCUGUGACUUGUAUACCUCAUGAGCAAAAUGGGGAAAAUACUAGUAUCUAUCUGCGUCAGGCCUCUGAUGUUCUUGAUGGUAAAUUUAGAUUAGGAAAAUAUUAUUUUGUUGUUAUUUUGAUUUUAGAAUCAGUAUACACAUUUUCUAAUUGCCUAGAUCCUUCUUAAGCUUUUAUAUUUAACUUAUGAUUUUUCUUAUUUACAAGGCUAAGAAAUUUGAAAAACAUUUUAAAAUGGCCUUUGAAUAAUACUUGGUAUCAUUAAUGUAUACAAUUGAAUUAAGGCAGAAUGCUUAAAAUACAAUUUAUACCAUUUGUAAUCAUUUUAACUCAUUCAAUUAUUUGAUUUAAAAUAUUUAUAGGAACUUAAGAAUUGAAAUUAUAAAAACUUAUCAGUAUGGCAAAAGUGUUAUAAAUGUAAUACUGUGCAUAAACUUAAUAAGAUUUCAAAUUAAAAUGAAAAGUCUGCAGUUCCUGUUGUGGCGCAGUGGAAACAAAUUCAACUAGGAACCAUGAGGUUGCGGGUUUGAUUCCUGGCCUCGCUCAGUGGGUUAAGGAUCCUACAUUGCUGUGAGCUGUGGUGUGGGUCGCAGAGGCAGCUAGGAUCUGGCAUUGCUGUGGCUGUGAUGUAGGCCAGCGGCAGCAGCUCUGAUUAGACCCCUACCCUGGGAACCUCCAUAUGCCAUGGGUGUAGCCCUAAAAAUAAAGGCAAAAAAUAAAUAAAUAAAUAAAAUAAAAUGGAAUAAAAUGAAAAGUCUAAAUAGAUAACUAAACAACAUAUUUGAAAUUGUAAUUAUGAAGCUAUUUUAUUAAAUUUACGGGUCAGAUUUUCUUAAAAUAACUACUUGUACUUAACUUAUCUCUGAGGAAUAAAGGAAAAUAAGAAAUAAUAGGAAAAUAAUAGAGCAUUUGUUUUUCUCAAAUAUCUCUUCAUCAAACUCUAAACUUUCCUGGUUUACAAUUUGAUUAUCCAUAAGUAUAUAAUUUGAUUAUGUUUUGGGACAUAUCUUAUCAGUACAAUAUUUUUAGUUCUUUAAAAAAUAUUUUAUUUAAAAUUAAUGUAAAAUAAAACUGACUCUUAAGUGAUCUAUAGUUCUACGAAUUUUAUCACACGUAUAGAAUUGUAUAACUCCACCAGAAUUGGAAUACAGAAGAUUUCUGUUAUCACACCUUCCAAAAUUCCCUGGUGUUGCCCUUUCUAGUCACACAUUGCCACUGCCUUUACCCCUGGAAACGACCCAACCAUUCUCUCUCAUCACAGUUUUUUUUUGCUAGAAAGUCAUGUAAAAGAAAUCAUAGAGUAUGUAAUUUUUAAAGACUGGUUUAAUUGCUUAAAAGAUUUUUACUUUUAUUUUUUAUUAUUAUUAUUUUUUUGUCUUUUUGCCUUUUCUAGGGCCGCUCCCACGGCAUAUAGAGGUUUCCAGGCUAGGAGUCCAAUCAGAGCUGUAGCCACCAGCCUACACCAGAGCCACAGCAACACAGGAUCAUUGCCGUGGCUGCGACCUACACCACAGCUCACGGCAGCACCAGAUCCUUAACCCACUGAGCAAGGCCAGGGAUCAAACCCACAACCUCAUGGUUCCUAGUCGGAUUCCUUAACCACUGUGCCACGACGGGAACGCCUAAAGAUUUUUAAAUACAGCCCCAUUGUUGUGUUCAUCAAUUGUUCUUUCAUUUUUAUUGUUAGUACUCCAUUGUAAGGAUCAGCACAGUGUUUAUCCCUUCACUCACUGAAGGACAUUGCAUUGUUUUCACUUUGAGAUGAUUAUGAAUAAAGCUAUUCUAAAC
rnacentral:lncRNA from 1 species